rfam:Methanosarcina acetivorans str. C2A, complete genome.
UCGAGCCGUAUGAAGGGAAACUUUCACGUACGGUUCCUGGGGGAGAAAGGAGGAGUAAUCCUCCCGACUUACCCGAC